AGCAGCCGCGGUAAUUCCAGCUCCAAUAGCGUAUAUUAAAGUUGUUGCAGUUAAAAAGCUCGUAGUUGAAUUUCGGGGUCAGUAGGUUGGUCGUGCCACAGGUAUGAACUGGCCUCACUGAUUCCUCCUUCCUGAUGAACCGUAAUGCCAUUAAUUUGGUGUUGCGGGGAGACUGGACUGUUACUUUGAAAAAAUUAGAGUGUUUAAAGCAGGCUAACGCUUGAAUACAUUAGCAUGGAAUAAUGAAAUAGGACGUUCGGUCUUAUUUUGUUGGUUUCUAAGAUUGACGUAAUGAUUAAUAGGGAUAGUUGGGGGCAUUAGUAUUCAAUUGUCAGAGGUGAAAUUCUUGGAUUUAU
rnacentral:rRNA from 1 species